CCUGACUUGGUCUCAAAUGAUCACAACCAAGAGGAACGCGGGUACACGGUAAUAGGAUGGGGGCUCGUACACAAGACCAUUGAAGGAAGGUAACAGAACCGGUGACAAGUGUCCCAAUGGUGGAGACACUUGUCACCACCGCACGACCAACAACCAUCAUUAAGGCCACAACAAGAGACCAAACUAAAACAUUUCUUCGAAUGUUUUCUCUCUCUUCUCGUGAAAACAUAAACUUGCUCUGCAAAUCCGAUCAUCACCUCCGAUUGCAACCUACCAGAGAAGACGGUGGUUGCCGGCCAACGGCGACAGCGCCACCUUCUUCUCCGGCGAACCACCACUCAAAAACCUAAACCUCAAACACUAACCCUGCUUAAUUCAGGCUCCUGAUUAUGAAUUCGGCCAUAAAAACACCAAAAUUCCAACCAAAACCCCAAAUCGGAAGCCCUAACAUAGAAAACCUAAAUAGAACUCUCCUCAAACAAACAAAACAAACACAAAAACAUUUAUAAAUAACAUUCAAAGGCAAACCCUAAAUUUGCAAUUAAAGCUACAAUAACAGCGAUUCGGCGCAGUUAGAUUGGGGUUUAUAGUCAGUUCAUCAAGGUGAGCAAGAUGAUGCGAAGAUUUUAAGCAAAGAAAGAAAAAUGAUAUACUUGAUCAGAGUCAAGUCGUCGGCGACGUCUUCUCCGCCACGUUUGAGAUGAGUCUUUUUCUAAUUUUAAUUUCUCUCUUUCUUCUCAUUUUCUCUAUUUUUCUUUGAAUGCUGUUGAUUGUUGUGUUUUGAGUUUGAGCUCGUCUAGGUUAGAGUUUCAGUGUGAAACUCUAGCUUAGACUUUAGGGAUUUUAAGCUCUAAGUAAAUGGUUCUUGGGUGAAUUUUGACAGAAUAACGGUGAGAGAUCUCAUGCAAUGAUUGGGUCGCUCUCUUUUAUAGAGGGGCUUAUGGAUUUCAAAAAUUGUCUGAAUGAUUCACAAACUCCAGCUGUCAUUCCGUUAGAGAGAUUUUUUGUUAGAUACUGCGGGGACCGAAUUCUGUGUAUCCCUGAUUUUGUGGGAUCAAAUUGUGAGUGGAGGUCAUAAUGGAACAUCAAGUGAGGAACAAGGCUUGAUAUGGGAGUUUUAGCAAAAUGGAGUUUCAAUCGAGUAGACGAAAUUCUGAAGUUUAGGGAUGAAAUGACGUUAUAAUGAGCGAAACGUCUCCAAAUGUACCAUAAUUACACUCACACGCCUAAUGAGAGGCUUCUUUAGGAUUUUAUUUAGUUUUCCAAGUACUCAUUCAAUGUAUUUUUGAAAAGCAAUUUUGAAAACUAAAGUUUCCCCCAAA